UCUUUUUAAUUCCCUAGCAUUUUGACGUUUGCUUGUGUUAGCAUUUUAUUUCUCAAGUUUAAUGAAAACCUCCCCUUGCUUGUUUUGUAUUUUCUUUGGCGACGAUCUUUGGGAAGAAUUUUGUAUAGUUUAGGUUUAUAUUUUCUGCAUCCGUCUCUUAAAAUUGUGUUACCUAGAUUUAGCCGAGCAUAGUCGUCGUUUCCUAGUCCCUGUGGGGAACAUGACACUCGCAGUUUGGGGCGUAAAACCCCCGCUGUACUACAAUUGAUCAUUUUGGCCCGUUGCCGGGGACUAGCGUAGAGCGAUUUUGUUAGGCUAUAGACUAGGUUUUUCUUGUUUUUCCCUUUGUGCUAUAUAUAUGUGAUAUAUAUCUAACCCCUAACCCUUGUUCAAGUUAUUUUCUCUUUCGUUGCUUGGUCAUUCUGUAGGUUAUUGCAUCUUCUCGGUUAUGGCUUACUGUUCAGAUCAUCAUGCUUAUGCGAGCAACACUACAAACAGCACGGAAAGUAUUCAAGACAUGAUAAGUAAGAUUUCCCAUCGAUUAGAUGAUUUAGCUUGGCAGCGAGAAGUAAUUUUUGAGGAUAGGCCUAGCUCUUAUGAUCCUUAUUCUAGGGGCCAUCCUUAUGUUGCUCCUACCUGCCAUAUUUGUGGAUUUCAGGGCCAUUCACCCGCUGAAUGUCAGCGUGGUUACUCUCACCCUCCUGAUUGUUAUGGCAUGAGCUUCGCCCCACAGCCUAGCUCAUACCAAAACAAUUACUCAUAUGGGUGGCCUUAAAACCAGAAUAUGUCAUAUAGGAGCAACAACCUUGAGAUCUCACCGUUUGCUUCUAGUAAUCAUAUGCGGGGAUUUAGGUAUGAAGAGGAGAGCAACAACUAUGCACCACAACAAUUUUAUUCACCUCCUACUCAUAUACUUCAACAGCAGGAGAUGUGUCCAAUGGAGUUAAAUGGUCCUCCACUUGGUCAACCAACAACUCCAACACCUAUUGAGCAAUCUCAUGCACAAGUGCCCACACAAGAUGACUUUGAUGAUAUAGACAAGCUCACAUUGCUUAGUCUCGGGUUCACUUGAAGUGCUGAAGAUGAUCCAAUUAGGCCGGUGAUACUAGAGGAAAUGAAGAAGAUCAAGAGUGGAAAAGAGCUAGUGGAAGAAGUAAGGAAAAUUGAGAAGAAUAUCAAUGCCGGGUGCACUAUCUCAUCCCUCCUUGAGCUGAGUGUUGCUAGGAUAUCCCUUGAGGUGUGUGAGGUUUCAACACUGUCACAUUCAGCUGAGCAAGGUAGCGAGAGUCCAGAGGAAGAGACACUUCAGAUCCAAGAAGAAAUACUUGAAGACAAGGAACAAGAUGAUCCAGAGCUGCAAUUCCCAAGUGAUCAAGAUGAAGACAAAAGAUCUACUACUCUUGAAGAAGUAAAAGAAGCUUCUGUAGAUGAACUUGAAGAACCAGAAAUUCAUUUGCCUAUUGUCAUACAAGAGCGUGAUGAGUCAGGUUCGAGGUGACAUCCCUUGGGACCCCGGUGGAUUCAAGGCAUGGUGACGAGGAGAAGAAAGGAGCACACAUAUGGAAGAGAGAAGCUGGAGCAUUCUUGUGGAAGCAAAAGGAGAAGAGCUAUAGUUUAGAGAGUGUCGAGCGAGUGCUACAGCAAAGCUCAGUGAGCUGUUUCAUGACCCCAAUCUUAAUAUAUCAUCCAUUGAUACAUGCUGAAAUUAAAUUGCUAUUUGGGUUGCUUGUGCCAUUUCUUAAAUGUUGUCCCACAGAUAUUCACCUUUGGCAUCGUGCUUGAUGUGAAUUUUUGAACUUGAUUUCUGAAUGCCUUGUAAACUAGUGAUCUACACCAUGCGUGCUUGGCUGAAAUUAGUGAGAACUAUUAGUUUUGAGUGCUCAAAUCCCUAGUACACUAGAAAACUUCAUCAUUUUCUGCAUUUACUAUGAUACAGCUAGAUCACCAUGUUUAGAUGCUGAAUUUGUGCGAAGUGUGUUCCCAUUGAGAGCAAUCACCUAACCACUAUGGAUUAGCAUGCUAUGUUCCCUGGAUCGAUAGCAUGUGAACCAGACAUGGAGAAGUGAGGAUUCCUUUUUUUUGUGAUUAUGUGUUGUUCAUUAAAAUAUAUAUAUAUAUAUAUAUAUAUAUAUAUUAUAAUGAAUAAUUAUUUGAUCUUACCUAACAGUAGCAUGUCAUGUUCCCUGGAUCGGUGGCUUGUGAAAUCUGGUUGGAUCAGAUAGGAGUUAAUUAUAUGAAAAAAAUUAAUUGUCGAACCAGGUGUAUACCAUGUUCUCGGGACCGGUGGUAUGUUCCUUUGGGGAGACAAACAUAAAAACAAAAAAAAUUGGUCGAGCCAGGUGUAUACCAUGUUCUCGGGAUCGGUGGUAUGUUCCUUUGGUGAGACCGGUAAAAUAUUAUCAUUACUUCCUUCAAAUUCAAUAGGUGCUUCAACCAUAAUGUUAUGUUUCGGGUAAUAAGUUUUUUUGGGAUCAUGCUCUCUUUAGGAACCCUUUGGCGCAAUCAGCAUUUGAACUUGUUGAUCCACUUUUAUCUUUGUAAAAGUUUAAAAUGAUUGAGUUUACUAGUGUCCUAUUGCUCUGUAGCACUCUUAACCAUUGAUUUUCACUAGCUAAGUCGAAAGCAUGCAUUGUUUAGAGAUCUACUUCACUUGGACAUUCUCUAGCCAGCUCACUAUUCACUAUCCUGCUCUUGUCAUAUUCCUUUGCUUGAGGACAAGCAAAGAUUUAAGUGUGGGGGAACUUGAUAAGCACAUUUCAUAUACAUAUUUUGGCACUCAAAUAUGCGGUUUAUUGAGAUAUGACCAUCAAUUCUUGUUGUGAAAUAUUGAAUAUUUGCAUGAAAAUCGUAUAAAGGAUCAUUUACUAGUCUUUGCUCUAUUUUGCAGAAGUGUGCGCAAAGGCACUAUAAAUCUUCAAGUUCCUGUCCAUGUGGCAACCGAGAUGAGCAUAUGAAAGAAGAGAAGGAAGAGGGACUUGCGUGUGAUGAAUAUCAAAGCUUCAAGGGCUAGAAAGAAAGAGUGGAGGGAUCAACUUGUGAAGUAGGCAGAGAAGUAGAAGGGCCGAAGUGCAAAAGUGCAGAUCUAAGGAGAGGGUCAAAAUCCCUAGCAGCAGCCAUGAUCCCCUUUCAGGCCUGGCAUCUCCAUUCCCCUUACCCCACCUUCUCCACCACCGGUCGCCGCCGCGGCCAGGCCGGCGCGGCGGUGCGCCAACCAGCGCCACCCAUCCUCGUCAUCUCCAUCACCCGCCGCUGCACCAUCCACCAUCAUCCAUCCAUAUCGCCGCCACCAUUGCUGCAUCACCAUCACCAUCUCUAGCGCCACCCACCAGCGCCGCCAUUCGCGCGACCCGCCAUACGGGUGUCUGGUUCCCCGUGCGACCAUCACCUCAUCUCCCUUGCUUCACCAUCUCCCUGCUGCUGCUCUUCUUCUUCUUCCCCUUGCUGUUGUUGCCUCCUGUCCGUUGCAUCUCCCUUAGCGCUGCUGCUGCUUCUCUCUUCUGCGUCCCCUGCUGCUCCUAACUUUCUCAAUCUCUGCCGCUUCUUCUCCGGGACCCCUUGAUGCUGCUUCUCUCUGAACCGAGUUGCUGCUCCUCCUUCUUGCUUCGUCCUGCUGCUUAUUUUCUUUCCCUCGCCUUCCUCAACUGCUGCCGUUCCUUCUUCCUAUGCACCCCUACUGCCCCUCUCUCUCGCAACUCCUGCUGCUGCUCUUCUUCCUCUUCUCCUCACCUUGAUGCUACUCUGAAUCUUAACUUGUUGCCGCCACUUCUUCUUCUCUGAACCCAACGCUGCUAGCUGCUCCUCCUAGUGUCGCUUCUCUUCUGCCCAACAAAACUGCUGUUGCUCUCUUUAUUUCUCUUCAUCCCUCUCUUUCUAUGCGUGUGUGUGUACUUUCUGUGAGUUAUUAGUGGAUGCUAGAUCAACUAUAUUAUAUUCUGAAUUAGUAUUAUUUGUGUCUGUAUGUCAGUUAGUUUACUUUAAUAAUUCAGAUCACCUGUGAUCUUUGUAUUGAA